AUGAAUAGCCUUGAUCUUAGGUUGCUGAAUUGGAAUGUGCUCGGGCUAAAUUGCCCAAACAGGAGAACUGUUGUCAAUGAAACAAUUGUUGCAUCUACGUGUCAUAUCGUGUGUAUUAAAGAAUCAAAGCUUGGAAUUGUUGACCCCCUCAUUGUUGCCUUUCUUGGAGGAUACAAGUUGAAAGGUUUUGCCCAACGCCUGGCAAUUGGUACGCGUGGUGGGAUCCUCAUGCUCUGGGACGAGGACCAUGUUCGUGUUGACGAUGUGCACUUUGGCACCUUCACCAUCUCUGCAAGGGUCACCGUUGUUAGCUCCGACACCACCUUCAAGCUCACCACGGUUUAUGGUCCGACGAGAGAUAAUCUGAAAGGUGAUUUCUUCCAAGAGCUGAAGGACGAAAAGCCUCCGCCUGGCGACAAAUGUCUUGUCACGGGAGAUUUCAAUCAGAUUUACCGUGCUAGGGAUAAGAAGCGAGCAAAUGCAAAUCGCAGCCGCAUCGUCCGAUUCCGGAAUGCUCUCAAUUUUUGUGAGCUCAAAGAAAUUCAUCUUCAGAACAGAAAGUACACUUGGAGUAACGAACAAAGCAACCCAACCAUGUCCAACCUGGAUGCCUUUUUCUGCAAUGAGGACUGGCACAUCACUUUUGACAAGCAUAUCAUUCAUGCUCUCUCCUCUCCGCUCUCAGACCACUGUCCCUUGCUCUUGGCAAAUAAUGAUGGUCCUAGGCAGCCUAAGACAUUUCGUUUUGAAAACUUUUGGACCAACAUGUCUGGCUUUCAUCAACUUGUCCAAGAUGUUUGGAAUGAGCCCACCGCGCGCGCAGAGCCCUACCAGCGGCUAUUCCAUAAGCUGAAAGCAAUUAGCCGUAAACUUAAGACUUGGAGCAAGUUGAUCUUCUCCAACACCAAAAUCCAACUCCAUAUGGCUUUGGAAAUCAUCCUUCGGUUGGACGAGGCUCAAGACAACAGGGAGCUAAGUUGUGAUGAGAGAGAUCUUAGAAUGAGACUUAAAAGAAGGGUGGUAGGCCUUGCGGUCUUGGAGAGAGCAAGGAAAAAGCAACCCUCAAGGAUCACAAGCAUUAAAGAGGGAGAAGCUAACACCAGUUUCUUCCACCUAAAGAUCAAUGGGAGGAGGAGGAAAAACCUCAUUCACCGCCUUAAGCAUGGGAUUGGGUGGGUCACGGAUCAUGACCAAAAAAAUGAGCAUUGUUCAAGCGCACUUCACUGUUAUGAUAAAAAGAGCACCCCGCGCACCAAGAGCAUCAACUGGGAUGCGAUUCCAUUUGUGGACCAGAACGUUUCCCACCUUGGAGAUUCCAUCACAGAGGAGGAGGCCAAGGCUGCGAUCUUUGCCCUCCCUAGUGACAAAGCUCCAGGGACCGACGGCUUCACCGGGAAAUUCUUCAAAGUAUGUUGGGAUAUAAUCAAGGAUGAUGUCAUGCUAGUGAUCAACAACUUCUCGGAGCUCCAUGCAAAAAACUUCCACUCGCUGAACUCAGCCAAUAUUGCUCUCAUCCGCAAGAAAGAUGGCACCGAGGGCACAUAG
rnacentral:rRNA from 1 species